CAUGAGGGUAAUUGGGCUGCUGUCUGCCAAAAACGGCACUGUGGACUUUUACCAACAGACAUAUUCUAAAUGUAUUGCUGAAAACAUGCUGUAAUCUGUUUGGUGCAGAAUCCAAGACUGAAGAGCUUGCUUUAAAUACUUGCUGAUCAGUGCACAUGAAGGGAGGAUGGAGACAUGAAGCCUGACAGCUUCAGCUGCUUCCAGAUGCCAUCUUCAUCCCCAGCUUCUGUUCAUGACUGCGACAGUUUGCCAGCACACCUGUAGCAGAAGAGGGCAGGUGUUCUGAUCACGCCAAGACAUCUGUACGAUGCGAAAGUUGUAAUCAAAAGUCAAGUGAAAGACACCUGGCGAGCGACAGACAGACCGUCAGAGAGUCUCUCUUCAUUCCCAGAAGCAUUAAACGGAGCCACUCGUACCCCCACAUGAGGGACAUACUAGUUGCUUUCCUUCUUUAUCAUAAACAGCACUCACCUCUGGGUGGGGGAAUCCCUCUCGAAAAAUAAAUCCCUU